rnacentral:rRNA from 1 species
UCCGGUUGAUCCUGCCAGAGGCCACUGCUAUCGGAGUUCGAUUAAGCCAUGCGAGUCGAGAGGUGCAAGACCUCGGCAUACUGCUCAGUAACACGUGGACAAUCUAACCUAUGGAAGGGGAUAACCCCGGGAAACUGGGGAUAAUACCCUAUAGACUAUAGUGGCUGGAAUGCACUGUAGUCGAAAGGUCCGCCGCCAUAGGAUGGGUCUGCGGCCGAUUAGGUUGUUGUUGGGGUAACGGCCCAACAAGCCUGUAAUCGGUACGGGUUGUGGGAGCAAGAGCCCGGAGAUGGAUUCUGAGACACGAAUCCAGGCCCUACGGGGCGCAGCAGGCGCGAAAACUUUACAAUGCGGGAAACCGUGAUAGGGGAACUCCGAGUGCCCGUAAAAUCGGGCUGUCCAUCAGUUUAAAUAACUGGUGAAGAAAGGGCCGGGCAAGACCGGUGCCAGCCGCCGCGGUAAUACCGGCGGCUCGAGUGGUGGCCACUAUUACUGGGCUU